AUUGAACGCUGGCGGCAGGCCUAACACAUGCAAGUCGAACGGUAGCAGGAAGAAGCUUGCUUCUUUGCUGACGAGUGGCGGACGGGUGAGUAAUGUCUGGGAAACUGCCUGAUGGAGGGGGAUAACUACUGGAAACGGUAGCUAAUACCGCAUAACGUCGCAAGACCAAAGAGGGGGACCUUCGGGCCUCUUGCCAUCAGAUGUGCCCAGAUGGGAUUAGCUAGUAGGUGGGGUAACGGCUCACCUAGGCGACGAUCCCUAGCUGGUCUGAGAGGAUGACCAGCCACACUGGAACUGAGACACGGUCCAGACUCCUACGGGAGGCAGCAGUGGGGAAUAUUGCACAAUGGGCGCAAGCCUGAUGCAGCCAUGCCGCGUGUGUGAAGAAGGCCUUCGGGUUGUAAAGCACUUUCAGCGGGGAGGAAGGGGGAAUGGUUAAUAACCAUUGCCAUUGACGUUACCCGCAGAAGAAGCACCGGCUAACUCCGUGCCAGCCGCCGCAGUAUAC
rnacentral:rRNA from 1 species